AUGACGCUGUGGAGCGAGCUGAGUGAUGUGGCGACGGUGGCACAGCUGGUCGGCGCAGACGUCGCCGGGCUCAUCUCAGUGAUCAUGCUGGCUGCGGAGACGGCGCGGCAGAACAGGAGGGAGUGCCGGCAGCUCGCGCGUCGGGUCCUCAUAAUCUCGCGGCUGCUGCCGCUCGUGCAGGACCCGGAGUCGGCGCGGCCGAUGGCCGGGCUGUGCGACACGCUUCGGGAAGCUCACGAGCUCCUCCAGUCUUGCCAGAGGAGGAGCGCGGCGUACCGUCUUUUCAUGGCCGGUAGGAAGGCCGUAAGAUUCAGGGAGAUGCAGAACAAGAUCGACUUCUACCUCCUCCUCUUCCCCGUGACAAGCCACAUCGGCAUUGCACGCCGCCUCGACCGAAUCUACAACCUCCUCGACACCACGGGAGCCGGAGGUGAACCGUCUACACUUCCACAGCCGUCCCAGCUGCAGCAGGAGUCUACAGUGGUCGAUCAGGAAGUAGUACCGUAUGAAAUCCAUGAAUUCACGUUUGCAGAAAUCGUCGCUGCCACCGAUUAUUUUGACCCUCACGCGGGGGUCGAGUCCGACCAAUCUGUAACGAUGUACAGGGGAACGCUUCACGAUGGGCGAGAGGUAGCCGUCAGGCGCAUUAUGGACCGGCAGUCCAGCUUCUUACAGGAGGAGUUCCGUACGGAGCUGGACAUCCUGCCACGGCUCCAACACAAACACAUCGUCCGCCUCCUCGGAUCAUGCGUGACUGCAAGGAAGGACCAGCAACAGAAAAAAAAGCGUCUGCUAUCCUGGUGGAGAAAGGAGCCGAAAGAACCGGAGUGGCUGACCGUCUACGAGUACAUGGAGAACAACACGCUCUUCCACCACCUACACCCUGAUCAGGGCUCCACCGAGCUGUCGCCCGUGACGGUGUCCUGGAAGACGCGCAUCGAUGUGCUCCUCGGCGUGUCGCGCGCCAUCGAGCACAUGCACUGUCAUGCCAACCCGCCGAUUAUCCACCGGAAUAUCAAGCCGGCAAACAUCCUUUUCGACGCCAGCUGGGUGCCGCGUUUGUCAGACUUUGGCUCCUCGGUCGUCUGGGACAUGGCGAGUGAGGAGUUGGGGAUGACUUGCACCAUUACUGGCACAAUUGGGUACAUCGACCCAGAGUACAUGACCAGAGGUCUUGUGAAGCCGACGAGCGACGUGUACAGCCUGGGCAUUAUGAUGCUCGAGGUUCUGACAGGUAGAAAGGUAAUUGAGAGGGACGACCAGGGGGAUAUACUACCUUUGACAUCGUUCGCAGUCCCCAUCGUUGAGGCCGGCAAUAUUAGGGGGUUGCUGGACACUCGACCCGUGCCGGAGCCAACGCCCGGGCAACUCCGGGCGCUGGAGAACGUGGCCCGGACUGCACGAUGCUGCGUGAAGGAAGGGAAGGACCGGCCGGCCAUACCGGACAUCGUGGCCAACCUCGAGACGGCGCUCGAAUUGUUCUGCAAGGACGAGCCAAGCUCAGUUCACGAGUCACCAGAACAUGACAGCAACGUGCAAUGGGCAGUCUUCCCGUCCCUGCCGGCGUCGCCGGAGAUCACGUUGGCUGAGGAUCGUCCAGGUGGUGGCGGCCACGAGAAAUGCACGUCCGAUCCGGGCGGCAGCUCCUCCAACUUUAUCGACGGCACGCAGCACCUUAAGAUAACUAGUAACUCUAUCUAG
rnacentral:rRNA from 1 species